CCUACGGGUGGCAGCAGUCGAGAAUCAUUCACAAUGGGGGAAACCCUGAUGGUGCGACGCCGCGUGAGGGAAUGAAGGUCUUCGGGUUGUAAACCCCUGUCAUGUGGGAGCAAAUUAAAAAGAUAGUACCACAAGAGGAAGAGACGGCUAACUCUGUGCCAGCAGCCGCGGUACUACAGAGGUCUCAAGCGUUGUUCGGAAUCACUGGGCGUAAAGCGUGCGUAGGAUGGUUCGUAAGUCGUGUGUGAAAGGCGCGGGCUCAACCCGCGGACGGCACAUGAUACUGGGAGCCUAGAGUAAUGGAGGGGGAACCGGAAUUCUCGGUGUAGCAGUGAAAUGCGUAGAUAUCGAGAGGAACACUCGUGGCGAAGGCGGGUUCCUGGACAGUAACUGACGCUGAGGCACGAAGGCCAGGGGAGCGAAAGGGAUUAGAUACCCUUGUAGUC
rnacentral:rRNA from 1 species